GCCAGUAGUCAUAUGCUUGUCUCAAAGAUUAAGCCAUGCAAGUGUAAGUAUAAUUGUUUUACGGUGAAACUGCGAAUGGCUCAUUAAAUCAGUUAUAGUUUAUUUGAUGCUAUAGGCCGCAAGGUCACUACAUGGAUAUCUGUAGUAACAUAGAGCUAAUACAUGCAAUAUAGUCUGACUUUUUGGAAGGACUAGCACUUAUUAGAUAUUAAACCAGUCCCAGCAAUGGGUUUUAUGGUGAUUCAUAGUAACUGAACAAAUCACAUGGUCUUGUACCGGUGAUGUUUCAUUCAAAUUUCUGCCCUAUCAACUAGAUGGUAGUAUAUAGGACUACCAUGGUUGUAACGGGUAACGGAGGAUUAGGGUUUGAUUCCGGAGAAGGAGCAUGAGAAACGGCUACUAUUUCUAAGGAAAGCAGCAGGCG
rnacentral:rRNA from 1 species